rnacentral:tRNA from 1 species
GAGAGGGUGGUGAAAUUAUCACAUAAUAUUGUCAUUAUUAAAUUACAUAUGGAAAAGUAUGUUCUUCUUU